GCGGACGGGUGCGUAACACGUAGCUACUUGCCCCACAGUGGGGGAUAACCCGGGGAAACCCGGGCUAAUACCGCAUACACCCGAGAGGGGAAAGCCGAAAGGCGCUGUGGGAUAGGGCUGCGGCGUAUCAGGUAGUUGGUGGGGUAACGGCCUACCAAGCCGAUGACGCGUAGCUGGUCUGAGAGGAUGAUCAGCCACACUGGAACUGAGACACGGUCCAGACUCCUACGGGAGGCAGCAGUGGGGAAUCUUGGGCAAUGGGGGAAACCCUGACCCAGCAACGCCGCGUGGAGGAAGACGCCCUUCGGGGUGUAAACUCCUUUUGCAGGGGAAGAGAGAGACGGUACCCUGCGAAUAAGCUCCGGCUAACUCCGUGCCAGCAGCCGCGGUAAUACGGGGGGAGCUAGCGUUACUCGGAAUCACUGGGCGUAAAGGGUGCGUAGGCGGCUUANUAAGUUGGGAGUGAAAUCCCACGGCUCAACCGUGGAACUGCUUCCAAAACUGCUAAGCUAGAGUCCGGGAGAGGCCGAGGGAAUUCCUGGUGUANGGGUGAAAUCCGUANAGAUCA
rnacentral:rRNA from 1 species